rnacentral:tRNA from 18 species
UACCCCCAGGGGAAGUCGAAUCCCCGUUCCCUCC